UACGUAGGGGGCAAGCGUUGUCCGGAUUCAUUGGGCGUAAAGGGCGAGUAGGUGGUUACGCAAGUCGGAUGUGAAAACUCCAGGCUCAACCUGGAGACGCCACCCGAUACUGCAUUGACUAGAGUUCGGUAGGGGAUCACGGAAUACCUGGUGUAGCGGUGAAAUGCGCAGAUAUCAGGUGGAACACCGGUGGCGAAGGCGGUGAUCUGGGCCGACACUGACACUGAAUCGCGAAAGCGUGGGGAGCGAACAGGAUUAGAUACCCCCGUAGUCC
rnacentral:rRNA from 1 species